CUGGGGCUUUACCCCACUGUGCCACAGCCCCCCACUUCUGGUUCUUAGGUGUUGGCUUUCAAGCAAGCAUAGGAAACCUGCUGAUGUCUUUGGGUUCUAGAAGGUUCCUCCGCAGGUGGCCUGGGGGCGUUACCGUGUUAUCAGUGGCCACGCCCUGACUUGAGUGCCCAGGUGUGUUUAUUUGCAGUGAGGCGUGACAGCGGGCAGCUUUCUCUGCACCUUCCAGGUCAGGGCGUGGCUACGGUGUCACACUGAGGCCACAUUGUGCGGGCUCGGCCCCCAGCGUCUCCUGUUGCUGGCACUGAGAGGGUGGGGCAGGGGCCUGUGGCAGGGGAUCGGGUUGGACUGAAUCCCCUAGGGUGGAGCCCCCGAGGUUGGAUCUGGUGGCUGGAUGGGAGGCCACAGACACAGACAGGCGCACAGCAGGCCUGCGUGCCACGUGACGCCCGGUGCUGCCCCCACGCCGUCCCCACAGGCCGAGCCGGCCGGGCCUCCUGCCGCUGGGCUGUGACCUCCAGCGCCGUGAUCCCGGCCUCCCCUUCUCUGAGCCCCUCUCGGAUGGUGCCUGAUGAUGGUGAAGCCGACGGGCACGGGCGGGAGUGAUGGGCUGCGUCCGUCGUAAGCCAGCGCUGCUCAGGUCAUUGUUGGGGCACCUCUAGGGCGGCCGUCGGCUUCUUUCUGAUCUCACUGGGCUGAAGCCGGGAGCCCAGGACUCUGUCUGGGUCUGCGACAUGGACAGCCCUUGUCCAACCUCGUGUUUGAUGUGUGGGUGAUGUCCUCCAUGUGCACAGCGACAGCCUCACAUGUCCCGUGUGAUGUGUGGGUCACGUGGUUGUCCAUGUGCACACCCACGGCCUCACGUGUCCCGUGUGAUGUGUGGGUCACAUGGUUGUCCAUGUACACACCCACAGCCUCAUGUGUCCCGUGUGAUGUGGGUCACGUGGUUGUCCACGUGCACACCCACAGCCUCGUGUGUCCUGUGUGCUGUGGGUCACGUGGUUGUCCACGUGCACACCCACAGCCUUGCAUGUCUAUGUUGAUGUGGGUCACAGGGGUCAUUUUGUGUGCCCUCCUCACCAGCCUUUGCG
rnacentral:lncRNA from 1 species